rnacentral:tRNA from 2 species
GGGGGAAUAUGAUAAUGGUAAUCAGUUGUACUUGCACUACAAAAAUGAAAGUUCAACUCUUUCUUUCUCCA